CGACCCCCCGGAGGAGUAUGCGCUUUUAAAAGAUCUUUAAUACUGUGCCCAAUUCCGAAGUUAGUUCGAUCGGUAUACUCAAAAUACACCUUUGGUACAAAAUUGACAAUCUCACAACGUGCUACAAUGGGCGGGACAAAGGGUCGCGAUCUCGCGAGGGUGAGCUAACUCCAAAAACCCGUCCUCAGUUCGGAUUGCAGGCUGCAACUCGCCUGCAUGAAGCAGGAAUCGCUAGUAAUCGCUGGUCAGCCAUAUGGCGGUGAAUCCGUUCCCG
rnacentral:ncRNA from 1 species